GAGGUAUUAGUAAAACUUACAUGACCUUGUCAAGGUCAAAUUAUAGGUGAAAACCCUGUAUACCUCU
ensembl:Mt_tRNA